rnacentral:rRNA from 1 species
UACGGAGGGGGCGAGCGUUAUUCGGAAUUAUUGGGCGUAAAGGGCGCGUAGGCGGCUAAGCAAGUCAAAGGUGAAAUCCCUCGGCUCAACUGAGGAACUGCCUUUGAAACUGCUUGGCUUGAGUCCGGGAGGGGGUAGCGGAAUUCCCAGUGUAGCGGUGAAAUGCGUAGAUAUUGGGAGGAACACCAGUGGCGAAGGCGGCUACCUGGACCGGAACUGACGCUGAUGCGCGAAAGCGUGGGUAGCAAACAGG